UAACUGAAGAGUUUGAUCAUGGCUCAGAUUGAACGCUGGCGGCAGGCUUAACACAUGCAAGUCGAGCGGGGGAAGGUAGCUUGCUACCGGACCUAGCGGCGGACGGGUGAGUAAUGCUUAGGAAUCUGCCUAUUAGUGGGGGACAACAUCUCGAAAGGGAUGCUAAUACCGCAUACGUCCUACGGGAGAAAGCAGGGGAUCUUCGGACCUUGCGCUAAUAGAUGAGCCUAAGUCGGAUUAGCUAGUUGGUGG
rnacentral:rRNA from 1 species